GAUGAACGCUGGCGGCGUGCCUAAUACAUGCAAGUCGAGCGAACAGACGAGGAGCUUGCUCCUCUGACGUUAGCGGCGGACGGGUGAGUAACACGUGGAUAACCUACCUAUAAGACUGGGAUAACUUCGCGAAACCGGAGCUAAUACCGGAUAAUAUAUUGAACCGCAUGGUUCAAUAGUGAAAGACGGUUUUGCUGUCACUUAUAGAUGGAUCCGCGCCGCAUUAGCUAGUUGGUAAGGUAACGGCUUACCAGGGCAACGAUGCGUAGCCGACCUGAGAGGGUGAUCGGCCACACUGGAACUGAGACACGGUCCAGACUCCUACGGGAGGCAGCAGUAGGGAAUCUUCCGCAAUGGGCGAAAGCCUGACGGAGCAACGCCGCGUGAGUGAUGAAGGUCUUCGGAUCGUAAAACUCUGUUAUUAGGGAAGAACAAAUGUGUAAGUAACUAUGCACGUAUUGACGGUACCUAAUCAGAAAGCCACGGCUAACUACGUG
rnacentral:rRNA from 1 species